UACAGAGGUGGCAAGCGUUGUUCGGAAUUACUGGGCGUACAGGGCGCGUAGGCGGUUGGAUAAGCCCUCCGUGAAAUCUCCAGGCUUAACCUGGAAAGUGCAGAGGGGACUGUUCAGCUAGAGGAUGGGAGAGGAGCGCGGAAUUCCCGGUGUAGCGGUGAAAUGCGUAGAGAUCGGGAGGAAGGCCGGUGGCGAAGGCGGCGCUCUGGAACAUUUCUGACGCUGAGGCUCGAAAGCGUGGGGAGCAAACAGG
rnacentral:rRNA from 1 species